rnacentral:rRNA from 1 species
CGAGUUGACCACUGUCUCGACCAGGAGCUCAGUGAAAUUGUAGUGCCGGUGAAGAUGCCGGCUACCCGCAGAAGGACGGAAAGACCCUAUAGACCUUAACUGUAAGCUGUUACUGGUUAUUUGAUUUUAAUGCUCAGCAUAAGUGGGAGACUUUGAAGCGGUGUUUUAGGACACCGUGGAGUCGCCAGUGAGAUACCACCCUUUGACAUUGGAUAAUCUAACCCCGAGCCGUCAUCCGGCCGGGGGACCGUGGCAGCCGGUCAGUUUUACUGGGGCGGUAUCCUCCUAAAGAGUAACGGAGGAGCGCGAAGUUUGGCUCAGCACGGUCGGCAACCGUGUGUCGAGUGUAAAGGCAUAAGCCAGACUAACUGUGAGACCCACAAGUCGAGCAGAUACGAAAGUAGGCCUUAGUGAUCCGGCGGUAGAAAGUGGAAUUGCCGUCGCUCAACGGAUAAAAGGUACCUUAGGGAUAACAGGCUGAUCGCGCCCAAGAGUUCAUAUCGAC